UACGUAGGUGGCAAGCGUUGUCCGGAUUUACUGGGCGUAAAGAGCGCGCAGGCGGUCGUUCAAGUCGCGUGUGAAAGCCCCCGGCUCAACUGGGGAGGGUCACGCGAUACUGAUCGACUCGAAGGCAGGAGAGGGUAGUGGAAUUCCCGGUGUAGUGGUGAAAUGCGUAGAUAUUAGGAAGAACACCAGUGGCGAAGGCGGCUCACUGGCCCGGUACUGACGCUGAGGCGCGAAAGCGUGGGUAGCAAACAGG
rnacentral:rRNA from 1 species